UGUGAACUGCAGGACACAUGAACACCGACACGUUGAACGCAUAUUGCGCAUCGGACGUUUAAACCCGACCGAUGUACACAUUCUUGAGUGCCUACCAAAUCCUUGUUACACAAAUACAUAACUACAGGACGGGCGUGCUACACAGUCAAGUGAAACAUUCCGGGCGAGCAGCCSSCCACGGAAGUCACUGGACGUACACGCUGUCGGACUGUGCAUCUUGGCGUGCUUGGUUCCACACCCAGAGCGGGGUGAACCUCGGGCGCUGAAAAGGUAAGGCAGAGUACAAUCUUGUACACCAGGGUACAGCGUCAAGUCGCACGGGUCGAACUUCGGCUAUGGACGACCUGAGAACCCCGGCAGCCUACUAACACCAGGCUAGCCGAUCCGGGUCCAGGGGUUACGCAUCAUCCGGCCGAGUCGUGUAACACGUGCAACCCUUACGCAUGGACCCUACUUGCUUUCCUUUCGCAUAUGUAGGCCUCAAGUGAUGUGUGACAACCCCCUGAAUUUAAGCAUA
rnacentral:rRNA from 1 species